AUUGAACGCUGGCGGCAGGCAUAACACAUGCAAGUCGAGCGAGCGGCGGACGGGUGAGUAAUGUCUGGGAAACUGCCUGAUGGAGGGGGAUAACUACUGGAAACGGUAGCUAAUACCGCAUACCAUCAGAUGUGCCCAGAUGGGAUUAGUUAGUAGGUGGGGUAACGGCUCCCCUAGGCGACGAUGCCUAGCUGGUCUGCGAGGAUGACCAGCCACACUGGAACGGAGACACGGUCCAGAACCCUACGGGAGGCAGCAGUGGGGAAUAUUGCACAAUGGGCGCAAGCCUGGUUCGGCCAUGCCGCGUGUGGGAAGAAGGCCGUCGGGUUGUAAAGCACUUUCAGCGGGAAGGCGUUACCCGCAGAAGAAGCACCGGCUAACUCCGUGCCAGCAGCCGCGGUAAUAC
rnacentral:rRNA from 1 species